rnacentral:lncRNA from 10 species
ACUCGGCGGUGCUGCAGCAGCCGGGAUUAGUCCCACUUUCACUUUCUGCACUGGGGCUUCACACCUGAGUGAUAUUGUUUUGUUUUCUUUUGUUUUUUGUUUUGUUUGAUUUUGAGAUGGCCAGUACAAAAAAGAGGCAGUCCAAAGAAAAAGAGCUCCAUGCGUUUCUGGAAGGGGGUGAUGAGCCGGGGAGGUCGGACGGGGGCUGUUCAGGGUCCGCGCUCCCGGGAGGACGAGGACCCGGAAAGCAGGUGUUUUCCCCAUUGCAAGGGCAACACUGAGCUCGCGCGUCCACAAAACGUUCUGCGAAAUUGUAAGGGCCUCCAGCAUCACAACCAAAAGUAGAAAGUAGUAGGGGCUUCACCCUCCGAGCGCUGACGUGGUGAUUUGUUUCUGAAGAAGGACUUGCUCCAGGUAGUUUAUUAGGGUAGCGAGAGCGAAGGGCCACCAAAGCUGGCUUGUCAUCCAACCUAGGAAACGGCACUCGCUGAAAAAACAAACUCACGAUGGCUUCCGUCUCACCUCUAACCUGUGGGGGACUGGACUGGACUCAGUUCAGUACGAGUGCAGGGAGAGGGCUGCGCGCCAGCUCUGGAUGAGCCCAGCCAGCGGUCCUAUGUCUGUACCUGUCCUUAUCGCUUAUCACUAACCGCCCUUAUCAGUCAUUAUCGCGGCUGGUCACUGACUAAAACAUUCUUCCAUAGUCCUAAAUAAGUUCACCUAUAGAAAGAAACCAUUCCAGAUCACUAACAUGAGCUUGGCCCAUUCAUUUGUUCUUACAUUUAUAUAACAGUGUUAUUUUACAUGUU